CAGUAGCCGCGGUAAUACGUAGGUCCCGAGCGUUGUCCGGAUUUAUUGGGCGUAAAGCGAGCGCAGGCGGUUAGAUAAGUCUGAAGUUAAAGGCCGUGGCUUAACCCCGGAGCUGCUUUGGGAACUGUAGAACUGGAGUGUCGGAGGGGUAAGCGGAAUUCCCAGUGUAGCGGUGAAAUGCGUAGAUAUUGGGAGGAACACCGGCGGCGAAGGCGGCUUACUGGACGACAACUGACGUUGAGGCUCGAAGGCGUGGGUAGCAAACAGGAUUAGAGACCCCGGUAGUCCCUGUCUCUUAUAC
rnacentral:rRNA from 1 species